AUUGAACGCUGGCGGCAGGCCUAACACAUGCAAGUCGAGCGGAUGAGUGGAGCUUGCUCCAUGAUUCAGCGGCGGACGGGUGAGUAAUGCCUAGGAAUCUGCCUGGUAGUGGGGGACAACGUUUCGAAAGGAACGCUAAUACCGCAUACGUCCUACGGGAGAAAGCAGGGGACCUUCGGGCCUUGCGCUAUCAGAUGAGCCUAGGUCGGAUUAGCUAGUAGGUGAGGUAAUGGCUCACCUAGGCGACGAUCCGUAACUGGUCUGGGAGGAUGAUCAGUCAAACUGGAACUGAGACACGGUCCAGACUCCUACGGGAGGCAGCAGUGGGGAAUAUUGGACAAUGGGCGAAAGCCUGAUCCAGCCAUGCCGCGUGUGUGAAGAAGGGCUUCGGAUUGUAAAGCACUUUAAGUUGGGAGGAAGGGCAGUAAGCUAAUACCUUGCUGUUUUGACGUUACCAACAGAAUAAGCACCGGCUAACUUCGUGCCAGCAGCCGCCGUAACAC
rnacentral:rRNA from 1 species